GUGCUUUUAAGCCCGCACAUCUUGCCUCCAUCUUCACCGCACUUUAGGUAAUCUGCUUAAAAGAUGUGAGUUCUUGCCGGAAGGGGUGUUUUGAAGCCCGGGCUCAGCUGCUCCCAUAAUCUGGCUCGUUUGUUUUGGUCUUGGGAUGUGAACAAAUCCAGCUGGCUUGUCAGAUACGAGCAAGGAGAAACAGAAGAAACCAACAAAUACGGUAGGAAACAGUACGCAAGACGGGGACGGCGGGGCGCGGCCUGACGGACGUCGCGGCGGCUGGGUAUGGGCCGUGGACCAGGUCGUCGGCUUUCCAACCAGGACGUUUGCUUUUUUAUUCUGGGCCAAGGAUCAGAUAAUGGGUCCGUGUGGCCGGUAGCAAUUUACGCCGCCUGUCGGUCGUGCGGCAUGAAAUGAAAAAAAAAAGGUAGAUUUGUCCUCCACUAUCUCCUGGUUCGUCCUAGAGGGUCCCCUCGCCGCCGCGGUACCCUGGAGCCUGGUCACCGGGAAAAAAGGGAGAGCGUAGCGGGAGGCCGGCCAACCGGGUUGCGGCGGCGACCGUGCUCCGACGACGGACUAACCAGUGAUGGAGGGGGAGGGUAUGGAGUUUCUAAUUGACGCUGUUGACAGGUUCCCCGUGCGUGAGGAAUUUGCGGACAGCCUUACAACCCAGAUCCAGUUCCACUACUUUUUCUGCUGGAGAAGGGGAGUGCGACUGAGGAUGUGGGUGAGGUCGAUGGCGUCACUGAGCUGACUCAAAUGGAGGAUGUAGGAGCAGCAGCGGCAACGCAACAAGGUGGCCAUGCUUUACGAGCUGAAUCUCCAACGAGGUCUGCUCAAUCAACAGGCAGAGUGAAUCCACAAGCCCCCGGUUGGACAAAAAGGCUCCAGCUUGGAAGUGCACCACCUGACCGGGUGGCUUGCCCGUCGAGGAUGAGCGCACUAGAAAUUUCAAUCCGCAAGUAUGCAGAGCAACCUGAUAAGAGCGUCGUUAAACCUGAGCUGGGACUUAGUUUUGAUUCGUUGGGCAAGGCAUAUAGUUUGGCAGCGGGAACAAUCUGGGCAUCCCCGUUGCCGUGCUGGACUGCAAAUCCAUGCCCCGCUGGGUGCCAUCCCGCUUGAUGCUGCGCAGCAAGGAUCUGCUCGUGGGUCAUCCUCCUGCAGUACGCGCGCUGGAACUCAAAGAAACGUCACUGAAGGGCCUGCCAAAGGAGAAGAGAAAAUCUCAAUCAUUAGCCAGAAACGAUGACCAGCCUGGUUACUAGUCCUCGCGAAGGCGGUCACGACCUCGUCGCUGCAGAGAGGGCAUGCCAUCAAAGGGAGCAGCCAAUCGGCUGGGACAGGAAGGGAAGAUGAAGACGAUGCGGACAUGGCAGCGCGGACGAGAUUGAACAAUGGCGAUGGCCAAGCAGGGGCGAGCUCGGGAGAGUAAAUGGAGAUGGGUGGUGUGCUGGCUAGAGUGAAUGAGCUGGUUGGGCUGGUGAGCAUUUAUGGAGCUGGCGCUCCGACGCCGUUUGUGCUGUGAAUCUUGCGUCAUACGGCUCAUGCAGGCUCAGAUGUGGUGCCGAGCCGUCGCACCUCCAACGGGGCCGCGACGUGCCGUCUCCAUAAAUGCACCUCUGACACGCGAGCCAGAAAAGAGAUAUACGGCCUGAAAAUACAUGAAGACACACAGAUCUUGGCGCAGACCAUCGGUGUGGAUUUCGGGAGCAGCUGAGCCCGAGCUCAGAAUCGAAUUUUCGGUUCUUGCCUCCAUGCGCACCCCCAGCCUUCUCUACUAGUUUUUACAUUGCCAUUUGCUCACUCUUUGCUGUCAUUCGCCAAUCUUUCUUCUAGGCCGGGCGAUGCCAGUUCUACGACUGGCAGGAGGGAUACGAGAUGUACCUGCUUCCUGACAAGGAUGCAGAGGUCACCGACGAGAGCCAUGCCCCCACUACAACAGCUCCACAUGCUGCCGCCCCUGCGGAGAUCUCUUUAGGAGCUCGAGUUAUCCAAGAUCUCAUCAGGGUCAACAUCAUGCUCAGCGUUACCAACCUGAUGGCUACGUUGCUGCUGCUAGCCAUUGGCAUGACUUCAUUCGCUUGGAUGUUCUUCUAUUGCUGAAUCCACCCAUCUCAUGUGUACUAGCUAGACUAAGAACAGGAAAUUUGCAUGUAAUCACACUCUAAUCUCCUUAUAAUCCUUAAGCAAUGUGUGUUGAUGUCAAUCCAUAAUUAAUCAAGUGCGGGGCCACUAAUUUAC
rnacentral:rRNA from 1 species